rnacentral:lncRNA from 1 species
UUACCAAGAUGAACACCCUCAACUUUAUAUUCUGGUUCAAUGCUUUGGAGCGUACCAAGAGCAACAUUCCUGUUUGGAUUUCCCAAGCUCUUCAAAAAUACUACAGUGCCAACCUAUUUGUACGAGAAAACAAUUUCUAAUAUAAGCAAUUUAAAACUUGCAAAUAAUCAUGCAUAACAUAAACUUAAUAGCCAUACAUCUAUCGAGUCAGCACCCAGGCAAUUUGUUGUACUGCAUUGUUGUUUCUGUAGAAUAUAUUUUGUGCAAUGUUAGUAUGCAAUAUAAUUGAAGCUUAAGAACUGAAACAGAGAAGAAUAAGAUUGAGAAAAUUUAUGUCAUACAUUGGCAUGCUUUGUUGCAUUAGCUCCUCUUGAGAUCUUACUAGUGUUCUGGCAACGAAGCUAAUGUCAAGAUGCAAAAUAAUCAAACCAACUUCAGAAGGAAAAACUGAAUAUAGAUGUACAGAUGAUGAAUCAAAAGCUGCCAUAUACCCAGAGUAUUCUCUAACCCAUUGACGUGUGUUGUUAAGUUGGAGAUCAAUUUAAUAGGGCAAGCAUAUUUUUGAGUAAAUAUUGGCAUGUCAUAUUGUGCACUAGAUUGUUGUGCAAGAAGACUACAUCUAUAAUGCCACAUAUACACUCUGUUAUGUUAAGAACUACUGCGGCUAGCAAUGUAUUUUUUAGAAAAUCUACACAGCAGUUUAAUAAUUGGCUUUUCAUGUACAAGGUCUGCAACAUUAUGCAAAUGAAAGGCUAAAAUAGCAAUGUGCGGAGAUUUUUCAACUUGGUGAAACUAACUCAAUUUUAUCUCUUAGAUUCAUAUCUGAGAUAUUUCUACUCAACAUUGAAACUGUUAUUUAUGUCAGACUUCAUUUCUAGCAUGAGUAUGCGCUGGAAAUGUGCAAUAAAUUUCUUGGAGCAAGAGAGCAGAGUUGCAUAGUGAAAAGAAGCUUUAGAAGUUUAAAAGAUACGGAGUGCACUAACCUUAUCUGCACUAGUGUUUUCUUUCUCUUGUUGCACAUGUUCAUCAUGGAUAGAAGUAUCUUUAUUCUGUGACAGAAGAUUUAUAUAAGAUUCGAAAGAACUAUACUAAACAUUCCUACCAUGAGAAGAGGAAGUAACAAUUAAUUGUUGCUCAACCAUAUUGGACACCGAACCGUAUAUAAAUGAGCAUACCUUAUCCUUAGAAGGACGUUUGUUUGAUGGUUGCAUCUCCAUGUCAUAGAGAAAGUUUUCCUUGCUCUGUAAUGAAUGGCAAAAGAUGAUUAAUUUCUCUAAAAGCAAACAGAAACAUAUUGAUGUAUCCAUACACUACCAUCACAUUAUUU